UACUUUAAUAUAAUAUAUUUAAAAUUAAAAUGAGAAAUCAAAUUUAAAUGACUAAACAUAAAUUAAUAAAGAAGUAAAACAUAUUUGGUAAAUUUUGGUAAAAGUUGGUACUAGCAAAUUGAUAAAUGGUUCCUACCAAUUUGCUUCUAUAAUUAAUCUACAUUAAAAAUAAUUGUUUUGAAGUGAAAUGGCAUCUGAUUAAGGAAACCAAAUAAUAUGUACGGUACAAUGCAAUAAUCCCUAAUAAUAAAAAACAUAGAUAAUAAAAACAAACAAUAAUAAUAAUCUAAACUAUUUCAUAAAAUGCAGAAUGCAUUUCGCAGUGGGAGAAGUCCUAACUAAAUACGGAAAAGAAUAUUUCAUUAGGCACAAAUUUUUAAAACAUUUAAAUAAUUUUAAACCAAUAAUUGUUUAAUGACUAAACUUUAUAAUAUUUACUCAUUAAACAAUAAUGGAAAAUAUUAUAAAAAAACAUUAGUGCACAUCGGCUGAAGAUCAUUAGCCUAAACAAGCUUCUGCUACAAAUUCGAGUCAUUCUAUUCACCUUAUUUUUCACGACAACAAGGGCGGCACCAUUUCGCUCAUUUUGUCAACGUUCUUCCGGCCGCAUAGACGAUGAGCAGCUGAGGCAGUGACUGAAGGCGACGCGUUAAGCUUAAAAAGCUCACUCUAGCGCCUUUAUGUUUCUUUCUUACCAAUUUUAAGCCAACUGAGGAACACCCUUAUCCCAAGUAAUGGUUCGACUACGAUGUUCCGGUAACUUUAAACCACGCCGGGUGUUGAAAAGGUGGCCAGUUUCAGAUGCAUUGAUGUGUAGUGAUGCAGUGGACAACUGUGAGGAUGUAUGAUACAAUCAACAUGUUCCUAAACUGUGAUGCAGAAACACAAUGGGAGGAUCCAUCCGUCUCUGACCACAACUACACUUUAAAAUCACAACUCAACCUGAAGCAACAUACAUCUGAUAUGGGAAAACAAUGGUGCAGUUUCCCUGACAGGGCUUAUCCUGGUCCCAAGCUAAAAUGAAUAUUUGAGCUACAAUAAUUUAAAAACACCUUUUACUGACAUACCUCAACAUAUAUAAGUGCCAUUGUUUUGUCACAAGAUGCGCACCAGUCUUGUUUUGUAAGGUUAGUUUGUAAAAACUAAAAUGUCCUAAUAUAAUUAAAUCCUAGUCCUGUAAACCCUGUCCGAGAAACUGCUUCAAUGUGUUGAGCUGGCACAAAUGUACAUAUCUCUACUGAGAAACAACCAUCUUUGGUUCAGCUUUACACAGGGUUAAUAUUGCAUCCAUUACACAGUCGCCAAGCACUUUACCAGUACAUACACCAACAGCUUCCAGAUAAACACUUGGGAUCAGCUCCUGAUGACUCCGAUAAAGCUGUGUCUUAAUUUAUUGCAGGGUGGUUUUGCUUUUCCUGUUGUAAAAUUACAUUAAACCUUUAUAUGUGAUCAGAUGUCAUGCAGUGAUAUUAAACAUGUACAGUGUGAUCAGAUGUUGUCCAUUUAUAUUAAACCUUUACAAUGUGAUCAGAUGUUGUGCAGUUAUAUUAAACAUUUACAGUGUGAUCAGAUGUUGUGCAUUUAUAUUAAACCUUUACAAUGUGA